UGGGGUGUAGCUCAGAGGUAGAGUGUGUGCUUAACAUGCACAAGGUUUCGAUUCCCAGCACCAA
rnacentral:tRNA from 1 species